UUGCCUUCCAGGUACUAUACAAAACACUGUGAUGCUGGAGCACUGAUAUGCUGGGAGCUAUUCCCAGUUAAAUUAAGGCCUGCUUGGAUUAAGAUUUAAAAAAUAAAUAAAUCGUGUGUCUUCAUGAGUUUCUGUGCACCCAGAGCCCUGGAUUCCCUGGAACUGGAGUGAUAGGUGGUUGUGAGUUACCGUGUGGGUGCUGGGAUCCAAAUCCAGUCUCUCUGCAAACUCAAUAAAUGCUUCUAACCACUAAGCCACCUCUUCUGGGGGCCAACUUUAGUGUGAUCAGUAUUAGAGCCUGAAUAGUUUUCCUUUAACCCAUAAGCACCAUUGCUUUCGCCACAUCUGGCAUUGAUAUAAUUAAAAUGAGUUUGAGGUUUGGUUCAUUAAAUGAAUGCUGACUGUGAUGACCCCAUAGGAGAUAAGAACACUGUGUUGUGUAGGGAUGAGGGAACUUGACCUUGUUGGCUUAGGCUUCAUGGAGAUCUCCAUGUAUUCACUGUUUUAGCGUUGAGCAAUUUCCUUUCUUGAGCUUUCCCUUUCUCAUUGAACAAAUAAACUAUGUUCCCAGAACCAUGGCUCUGGAUGAGGUCAGACUCAACAAAGGGCACUGAAUACUCUUACUCAAUCUUGGCACUGUGUCCUUUAUCCUUUUGUUCUGCCUCUUGAAAUGCCCAAGUACAGUAUAACCUUGCCUUGAAUUUUCAAGGCAAACCAAACUGUCUUUUCUUCCAAGUUUGAUGCAAUGUUGGAUUACUGCAUAAAGCCCCAGAUGCGAACUCCUCAGUAAGAGCUGAUAAGGUUUUGUUGCAGCUCACAAAAGAAGUUUCAAAGAAAUACUGUUGACAUGGCUGAACAGUGUUUAAAACGAGCUUUCACCAUCGUUCAAGUCUUAACAAGUGAAAUGGCUGGUUACUCCUGCCACAGAAGCAAAGACUUUAAAAUGGGUUCUCAUAACACCUGGCACAAGGAAGUACUCGGAAGCAGUGCUGGGGUGAGUGACAUGAAUUACUCAGCAAGAUCUGUCCCUCUCCUCCCGAAGGCCGCAAUACUUGUCCUCUGGCAGAAACUGACUUAUCAUCCUGUCCUAGGAGCCAUGUUUUGGACUGGUAGGCUUCCUGGUCCGAAGUUUCUGGUGGCAGGUGUUAAAGAAAAGAAGAGAAGGGGACAGGAAGGAGAGAGUGGAGCAUUGACACCUUUGGAUCUCUGAAAUCAUCUUGUCAUGGAUCUGAUUUCUUUGACCAAAUUGUUUUCAUUUUGCUCCCUGCAUAUACCCUGUGUAUGUUAACAUUCAAUAAGAAAUCUUCUCUUGGAUAUCUGUGAAGGUUUAUUCAUACUGACUUGGUUGCGGGAUACAAAGAUGGAUAAAAUGUCUAUCACUUCAGGAUGUUUAUACAUGAUCCUAUGGAGCCAGCUUUGCUGAUGAGGAAAUGUAGAGGGUGUGGCAUAGCUAGCAUGGGAAGGAUUCCAAUCUACCCAAGCCAGCAGGGUGACGAAAUCCCGUUUGUAUAGACCUUGCUUACAGAGAGGAGAAGGAACCCCAGAUUCCAUGUUUCAAACUCUCAAACCCAUCUAGGAUGGACAUGCACAGCCAUGGAAGCAUUCAUGAUAAAUGUAGACCUAAGAGGUCUUAGCUGUCAUCUUGCCUCGGAGGGGGAAGAAGCAGAAAAGCGAGUCUGUGUCUAUUAAUGUUGUGAACUGGCGUACUGUUCGUAGUGUAACAUGCUUCUGGACAUCAUUUAUAGGAUUUACUGAUCAUACACCAGAAUUGCCCAAGGAACCUCAUUCAAAGUGUUUCAUGCACAAUCCAGAUGUUCACCACUGUGUGCUUUGAUCAGGAAGUAGCAUCAGUUCCUGGCUUGGACCACACAGCAGCAAUUUCAAUGUCUCUGCAGACUCUUAGCAACGUGUUGAAGGCUGGCAUUAUUCCUUUGCCAUUACUGUCUGCCACCCGGGAGAGGGAAUCUUUCAAAAGGAGAGAGAACAUUGCAGGUCUAGUGUACACAUGAAGAUCUACAUCCAAAUUUUCUGUCUCUCCUGUUGCUUUUGGAUCGACUCUCCUCUCCUCCAACAUCAUGUCUAUCUGGAUGGUGCUAUGCUUCCUGGCAUGAUUAAAAUGGACUGAACCUCUGAAACUGGCACUGGAUCUCCAUCAUGAAAGGCUGAGUACAUCCAACUGGAUUCUCCCGAGACUCUUCUGCGUGUGGCAUGAGACAAAUGGGCUGAUUUGUCAAAGGUCAUUGCAUCACAUACCCAAGCUGAAGACUCGGUGAAGAAUAACCAAGCCUCUUACAGCUAAAGUGACAUUUCUAGAUGAUUUCUUAAAAAAAGGUAAGUACUGGAAUUGAAUGCUCCAGGACUUUAAUUUCCUAAUCUUCUGGACCUGGCAAUAGAAAGGUUAAUGUAAGCUAUACAUCCUGGAAAUCGAGAGUUUAAAUCCAAAGAAGUUAAAUAUAAUCACAGGAAACACACAGCACAAGGGGCAGAUUAAAAGGAGCCACAGCUACAAAUGACCAUGAAUGAGGGUGAGUGACUGCUCUAAAACUGCAGUCUCCCCAGCAGCCAACGCCAUAAAUUAUCCGCCUCUCAUUGCCUGAUGUUUGCUGUUCACCGAUACGGUUCAGUUUAACGAAUUGGUGUAAAUCAACUCAAGGAAGGCAGUUUUUCUUCACUUCUUUGUUCUGGCUUUGGAAACACAGGGUCAGGUAUCCCAGCAAAUUGUUGUAAGGUUGAAGAGACCAUAUUCAGAGUCCGUCACAGUAAUCUACCAGCUAUCCAACUCUCUUCCACGUAAGUAUUCAUGCAUGCGCAAGUCUUAUAGUAUCUUAUAUUUGCACACACACACACACACACACACACAAUCUUUAAAGGAUAAAGGUUUACUAUAUAAUAAUUGUUAGACUCAAAAUAACUAGGGUACCUAGUUAGUAUAUCGAAGCUGACCUGGGCCCCCGAGUUUCUCAGCAUCCCUCAGUCCCUAUCUGUUACUGGGUUUGGUUGGCAUACCAUACCCCAUCCCCGCCCUAAACUCCAAUCUAGGGACUGGACUGCAUUCUCCAGCUGCCCUUUUCUAUAUAAUCUAGCCAUUUUGGUUACUUGGUCCUUUUUACUUCUACCCCGUACUCUCCUGGCUUCCCCCUCCCCUGUCCUCACAUGGUCAAGUCCACUCUGGGUUCUCCCAGAUGUUUCUUGCCUGUGGCGAUGCUCUCCCACAUAUCUAUAAUAAACUUUCUUCUCUACCAUACCUAGGAAGAGUCAUGUCCUUCCUUUUUUAUUUCUUCUUUUUCAUUCAGUAAUUAGUGCCCAAAUAAGGAAACAAAUUUAUUCACAACUCACAACAGUGCAACAGGCAAUGAUUUGACGCUAACACUUUUUGUUUUCUUGAUGCUACUGUUACGUAGCCUAGGCUGGCUUUGAACUUGAAGCAGUCCUCCAGCAUCAGUCUCUUUACUGCUAGGAUUACAAGUAUGUGGAGACACAGCUGAGGCUAACAUAUUGCUUAAUUCAAGGGUGUGAUUCCCAAACGAUCUUUCUAGAGGUCAUGAAACCUGGCCUCCUUAAAAUCUGAGAGGUUCAGACAAGAUAUUUGUACAAAUUACAUGGUAAUUUUGUAAUACUCUGAAAGAGAUUGAGGACAUAUAUUGAGCUAACUACCUAUAUCUGCUUUUUGUACCUAAUGUAGAUUGAAAAGACAUCCGAUUGUGUAAACAAAGGACAUUUCUAACACAGAGAGACUUCUCAAUAUAUGGACUUUUGGAGAUGUGCCACCAAAAAGCUCUAAUACUGAGUAGUCUUAGAGCAGUGGAGUUGGAAGGGGAGAAACCAAACCAGACACCCUAAUCUUUCCACAUAACAGCCAUGGAGCUCAGACCUAGAAUGAAGACCUAAAAAAGCCUCCCCUUUGCUACUUUGAAUUAUAAAGAAAUCUAGAACCCUCGGGUCUCGGAUCCCAGUCUGGUUUCCAUGUCAUAGGCCCACACAGCUAUAAGGUAGUUCUGGGUCUUCUGCACUUUCCUUCCUGUGGGUAGACUGAAACCCUGAGGUUUGUAUAAUUCCUCGACAGAUGACAGCAUCCACACAACCAUCCACAGGACUUUGUGUGAAUGUCAAGGGAAGGGAGGAAGAGAGUGUGUUGUCAUGGAGAUACCAAGGCAAAUUGCAAGAGGAGAGAAAGUUGAAACCCAUUCUGCUAUCUCAACCGUUAUUUAUUCAAGUAAUAAAUCACGACAUCUUUGUCAAAAUCAAUGGGGCAUGAAAUGGACUAAAAAUAAACCUUGCAAUCCAAUCAACUAUCUUCCGAAUACCAGAAUCUUCCAAAGGAAAUGCUCGACUGCACAGUUAGCUCUGUCACUGUUAACGUUUCUAUAUGAGCAUUUGUGCGUGCUCUCUCUUUUGUUCAAAUUCCUUCUUAAAAUUCAGCAUUAAUCACCAAGGUAGAUGAAAAUAGAGGCAACAUUACCUAGGGUACCAUUUCAUGGGUAGAAUGGCUUCUAAAUUUAUGACAGGCCAGAAAAGUAAAACAAGCUUGAGGAAGGAAGGAAUAUUUCCCAGAGAAAGGAAAUGACAGUUUCCUGGACCAUUAACUAGUCCAAGGCUCAGGGGACGGUCUUCAAAGGGAAUUUCAUUUAAGCUGAAAUCUGGUCAGAAAAAGAAACAUCAGUGUAGGACCUGACCACUGGCAACACAGACGCUGCCAUUCUGUGAUAGGAACUGAGGCAGACUGAUUUUUAGCUCCACACUAGAGCCCCAGUGUGUCCCUAGAAAGGUAAGCCUUCAUUAAGGGAACUUCUCUACAAUGUAGUUGACUGAGAGGAUAAUGAAUCUUUAGAGACAAGUAAGGUAUCAUAGAUGAAGUGAAAUUGUGUUGGUCUUUUAUCUCAUGAAACACUUUCUCUCCCCUUUCCAGAUUCAUGGAUUCAUAGCUCCCACAGAGUUGGAAAGUCCUCAGAGAGCACAGGACGUGAGGUAGCUUUACUCAUGGACUGAUCAGAGGCCAUGGGGCCAGUUUAUUAGCAGGACCUGAGCUUUCAAAAUUUAGGGUUUUUUUUUAUUCCUUUUCUUACUCUCUUGGAUUCUAGCACAUACUGCCUUUUAUCUGAAUAAAAACGUUCUACCAAAAACCUAGUGUACUUCAUAGACUUAUAGUUGAUACAUUGGUUUUGUUUCAAAGACUAAUGAUCCAAAACAAAGAGUUAAAACUGUUUCCUGUAGUCUCCUAGGGCAGGCUCUGACUAUCAGAAAAUCUCCUGCCUUCUGUCUCCAUCAUUAGAAUGGUUAAACUUCUAUUAUUCCCAUAUCUGUCUUGCUCAUCCACAUGCUGUUCCUAAACCAUGAACACUCUACAAAUCUGAUGAAGAAAACUCAGAAAGCAGAUUAGAAUUAAGUUCCUAUUGUGAAAGAACAAGGGAGAAAAAACAAAAACAAAAACAAAACCCUCAAAAAACGACAACAAGCCCCAGAGAGUUCUGCUUUUUGAGAAAUUUCAACUACAGAUGACAUUUUGUGUGGUUUGUAAAUGGUGAACAUACAAGUGGAGGACAGAAUUUUGAAAAAAGUUUACUACUAAUCUUUUAAUGUACUUACACAUAAAUAGUCACUGCUAUUUUAGAAUACAAGAUAUAAGAUACGGAGACUUAUUUUAUAUAUAUUUAAAUUCUAGAAAUGAUUAUUGAGUUGUUGGUUUUCCCAUGCCGUCUUCGGAAUCAUGUCUGUUACCCUUUGUUUGGUGUCUUUGGCCCCAAAUGUGGGUGUAAUGUGGACAGUUCCUUUUCUUCCCACUAAGGGGCAGUAUAACCUGGAGUAGAAGGCAAGGUGAGGCAGACUCUGCCACAGACUCUGGAUUUGUCCUUAUUAACUCUAACAGACUAGCCAUGGGCAUGUUUUAUAUAUGGGACCUCUGCUGGCAUCACCAUGAGACACUGCCCCAUCUUCUCCCAACCCAGAAAGCUGGUGGUACUGAGUGCCACAAUGCUCAGCUAGAUUUGAUAGUCCUUAUCCCUUCACCCACUCUCCCACCACGGAAAAUAGUACCUUGUCAACCAAAGGCUUUGGGACACAUCAGGUUACUGUCCCCUAGAAUAUUCCCAGCUGUAGAGUCGGGAAGGAAGGCUGAGGGAAACCUGGACUCUGGGUAGAUGAUUUGACAGUCAGUCCUAAGCUACCUUGUCCUAGGUGUGGGUUCUACCAAAUUGCUGGUCAUCUUCUAGUAUUGUCUCUUAUGCAGGAUUUGGGAAGGCUGCAGCAUGCAUUCUCAUGGAAGGGAGAAUAGCAUGUGGAAGCUGUCUAGGUCACAGGGUGCGAGAACCAGAGCUAAGUUCUUUCUUACUGGUUCCCAGUCAUCCUACAACUGAAGAUCCAGGUGAUUUGAUUAACUGCACUAUUCCCUAAGGAUUAGGAAUUAAUUAAUUAAUUAAUUGCAAGCCAGUGUUCACUCUAGAGCCUGGGGGGGGGACUUAAAACCCAAAAGAAUAUAUUUGUCCAUUUGUACUACUUCAAAGGUUUAUUCUUGACGUGUAAUUUGUUUUCCCCGAGAAAGUUGACAUAAGGACCUUAACUCUCCAACAUGCACAUAGGAACGAGCAGACUUUACUACAUGUAAUAGCCCAAGAUGUAACUGACAGUAUUUUCAUUACUACAUCAACUAUAAGAUAUCACUGUGAGUCUUCAGGGUCUUUCCUUUUGUAGUUGAUCGAUUAAGAAAGUACCUUAAUCAGUCUUUGUAUGCUCAUAUAGAUAAAUUCUCAAAUAUGAAAAUACUAGGCACUUCUCAAAAUCUUUCCUAUUGUGGGUGGUGAGGGAUAACCAGGAUUGGACAGAGGAAAAACUAUCUUUGUUGAUUUGAAAAGAAACAAAACAAACAAUAGAACAAUAACAACCACCACCACCAAACACAUAGCCUGAGGUUGGACCACCUGACUAAUGACGUAAGCUUUUAAGAGAUUUGUAGCGCUGAAGGAAUGGAUUUCACAAUUCCUGUCCCAUUCUCUGACUGCAUUCUUGAAGCACUCUGCCUGCACUCCAUCCCUUCUUGGGUCUUCCUUAGUGUUCUACUGUCAUGAUUCUCCUCUUCUCCCCCUCAAGACAGAUAUACUGUUAGCGCUGUAAGUCAAUGAUACAGUGCUUGUCCAGCACGUGAAAUGCCUUUGGUUCAAGGCUUAGUGUCACAAGAUUUUUACAUAAAGAAGACAGGGAUUGAGGGUCAACUUCAACUUAUACUUGAGAACAGGAAUGUCUGUGUAUAGCAACCUCAAAGCAUGGGAUACUGUUGGUUUCAAGAUGGGGGAAACAGAGGCUCUAUCCUUGUGCUUUUCUUACAGUUUGGACUUAGACUUGAGACAUCCACUUCCCCCUCUAGGAAUUCUAAACCUUUAGUUUAGGCAGAACAGAUAUCUGGGUUGGGGGUCCAUUCACUAGGAAGCUAAAAUAAAGCUUCUAUUGCUGACCCACAUUCUUGGGCCAACUCCCAAAGCACUGCUCUCCAGAGAACUGACCACAGAUCUGAAGCUGGAGCCUAUGUUCCAAAGACCAGAGAGAAGAAGAUCAGAGAUGAAUAGCUUCAAAGUCCAUAGAUAACUGCUGUGGGACCCUGUAUCCAGAGAAUGGGCUCAGAUGCACAAAUGUCCUGUCUCCUAAAUCCCUUCAGGAAGAGAGGUAUAAAAACUUAGAUGGAAUGUAAGCUAUUUCUUAAGGAAGUAUGCUCCAGUUGCUUCUGCCCAGAGAGACCAUGGGCUCACCCUUAAUUGUGACUUUGCAGGCCUUCUGACUGAAAGAGCAAAGAUAAGGCAGGGAAGGCUGUGUGCAAAAGCAGCCGGGAGACAGGCAAAGGAUCCAGAUGGAGCUGGUCACCUCCAAGCUUUCAGAAGGCUGCUGUGAAUUUCAUGGAAUUCUCCUACAGCUUCCCUGACAGUUCCUUUCACAUCAGCCCUCUACAGACAGCCCACCUUUCUUGUAGGUCACCCCACUAAUCCUUGCAUAGAGACUCAGGUUUACCCAAUCUUCACUCUCCAAGAUACCCACACUGCUGGGAAAGGAAUAAUUGAAAAAAACCCUUUAAAUUUUGUUCACCCAUCUUGAGAUGGGCUGAACUGACUGAAGAGGGUGGAAUCAGGAGACAGCAUAACAGGAAGGGUGGUCCAGAGAUGCAGAGAACAGAAAGCUAAUACAUCACAGUAUGGGUGUUAUCAAGAGAGCCCACAAGAGCCCAAAGGAACCCUGAAUACCACAUGGGGCCACCUGUCACUUCCUGAUGGAGACAGAGACUUGCGAUCAGGACUGCUCAUCCACCUGGUGCCAGGUACAGAUGGCAGGUAAAUGUGGGCUCUAAAAGUCAUGUGUUUAAGGGGAUCAGUCAAGUGUUCCAGGCCUUCGGUUUGGAAAAACACCACUCCCCACUGAAGCCUUCCUCCCCAUUUUCCUCAGUGAAAAAUAACAGGGUUUGCUUUCAUCGUUUUUGCUUGUUUGUUUUGAAAGGAGGGAGAGGAUUUCAGCUUAGCCAUUUCUUAAUUCUCAUAUCUGAAAUUAGAAAUACCACCUUGAUUUCUCAGAAUGAUUAUUGGAAUUAACAAAUGUGAGAAAACAGCUAGUAUAAUGACUGGCUACUCUCUCCACCACCAUCCCAUGUCUAUGUGCCUCCUUGUGGUCCCUUCUGGUCUUCUCUUAUAAAGUCUGCCCUUCCUUCUCAACUUUCCUAGGCAGAAAUCUUGAGAAAAUGAUAUCCAUCGUCUCCUCUAGCACAGAAUGUUACCAUCGGCCAGGAAGGUAGCAGAGUGUGGGAAAGAGUCAAAAGACUACUGCAGUGGAUUGGCACCUCUGCUCCCGAGGUACAGGUGACCUAGUGGCCCAGGCUCAGAACUUCCACUCUGUGCCCUGUCUCCAUCCCUUGCUAUGUGUUAGCCAGAGUCUAGAGAAUCCCAGUACAUCCAGCUUCU